rnacentral:rRNA from 1 species
AUGCUUCCCAAGUUAAAAGCCCACUCUUUCUACCAAAUUACUCAGGGGAAUAUUGCCCUCUGGAGUUCCCCAUGGUGUUCUUCCUGGUCCACUAUUCAUAAUCAUCUCAUCAUUCAGCCACCUGGCUUUAUUUAUCCUGCUCAGGUUAAGGAUCUAUGGAUUCCUGGGCAAAAAACUUGGAACAACAAUCUUAUUCAUUCUCUUUUCCAAGAGCCUAUGGCCACUUUUAUUACUCAAACCUCCAUCAUUCAGGAUGACUGCCCAGAUAUUCUCUGUUGGGACCUCGCUCUGAGUGGCAAAUGCACUUCUAAAUCCACUUAUAAAUUGUGCUUGCAGGAUAUUCAAAGCAUUCCCAGGAAUACUCCCUCUCAACUAUCUUUGCAGGUUAAAAAUCUUCUCACUCAGGUUUGGAAGCAAAAGUUGAUUGCACCCCGUGUCCAAACUUUCACAUGGAGACUUCUUCGAAAAGCUCUUCCUACAGGUUUGCGAGCGGGCCGCUUUUCAAUUCACAUUUCUAAAUCAUGUUGCAGGUGUGGUGAGGAUGAAAAUGAAAUGCAUCUCUUUUUUCUUUGCGAUUUUGCUAGAGCAGCCUGGUUUGGCCACCCUUGGUAUAUUAGAUCUGAUGGCUUGGUUCAAAAUCAUUUCUCUAUGCACAGUAUUAUUCUCAGUUUACUAAAUAUGAAUCAUCUCAUGCAUCUAUAUCUAACAUACUAA